rnacentral:rRNA from 1 species
AGAACGAACGCUGGCGGCAUGCCUAACACAUGCAAGUCGAACGAGACCUUCGGGUCUAGUGGCGCACGGGUGCGUAACGCGUGGGAAUCUGCCCUUGGGUUCGGAAUAACAGUUGGAAACGACUGCUAAUACCGGAUGAUGACGUAAGUCCAAAGAUUUAUCGCCCAGGGAUGAGCCCGCGUAGGAUUAGCUAGUUGGUGAGGUAAAGGCUCACCAAGGCGACGAUCCUUAGCUGGUCUGAGAGGAUGAUCAGCCACACUGGGACUGAGACACGGCCCAGACUCCUACGGGAGGCAGCAGUGGGGAAUAUUGGACAAUGGGCGAAAGCCUGAUCCAGCAAUGCCGCGUGAGUGAUGAAGGCCUUAGGUUGUAAAGCUCUUUUACCCGGGAAGAUAAUGACUGUACCGGAGAAUAAGCUCCGGCUAACUCCGUGCCAGCAGCCGC